rnacentral:ncRNA from 1 species
GGAAGCCGUAUGCUUUGGAAGAAGCUUGUACAGUUUGGGAAGGGGUUUUUUGAGAGAAAAGAAGAAUCUACUUCAAC